GAUGAACGCUGGCGGCGUGCCUAAUACAUGCGAGUCGAGCGAACAGACGAGGAGCUUGCUCCUCUGACGUUAGCGGCGGACGGGUGAGUAACACGUGGAUAACCUACCUAUAAGACUGGGAUAACUUCGGGAAACCGGAGCUAAUACCGGAUAAUAUAAUGAACCGCAUGGUUCAAUAGUGAAAGACGGUUUUGCUGUCACUUAUAGAUGGAUCCGCGCCGCAUUAGCUAGUUGGUAAGGUAACGGCUUACCAAGGCAACGAUGCGUAGCCCACCUGAGAGGGUGAUCGGCCACACUGGAACUUAGACACGGUCCAGACUACUACGGGAGGCAGGAGUAGGGAAUCUUCCGCCAUGGGCGAAAGCCUGACGCAGCAACGCCGCGUGAGUGAUGAAGGUCUUCGGAUCGUAAAACUCUGUUAUUAGGGAAGAACAAAUGUGUAAGUAACUAUGCACGUCUUGACGGUACCUAAUCAGAAAGCCACGGCUAACUACGUG
rnacentral:rRNA from 1 species